CUGCCCGCUCGGCGGCCUGAGGAGCCUCCGGGGUGCCUCGGGCGCAUGCGCAGUGCCCGGGAGGUGCCGGGGUCCUUCCGGGACCGCGCGUGGUCGUCGGACCGGAGGGAAGUGGCCACAGUCUUGAUUGAGAAUGAGUAGCACUGGGACAGAAGAAAGUGAAAAGACCACUGAAAGUAAUCAUCCACUUAUAGGCAACUUUGUUAAUGGUUUUCACAUCCUUCAAACUCUGGGAAACAGAACUUUUUCCAUUCAAGGACAGAGCAAGUGCUAUGAAAACAAAAGGCGAUCUCUACACUGAAGGUACCUGCAAAUAUCUGAAAAAUACCAACUGUAAUUCUUGCAGCACUUUGAAACAUUCUUACUUUGUAGAAUUUAAUAUUGGCAGAGGCACUGUUGUUCUAUCAACUGGAAAACAAACUUACAACUGACUGAAACCCUUAAGAAUGUACCUGUCAAUUCACAGGGAAAUAAAUGUAGUGGCUGUACUUUAAACAAAACUUUAAAGCAUAGAAAAUAUCUGCUAGUAGAUAACUUGCAUGUAAAUAAAUUUCUUA